UCAUGGCUCAGGACGAACGCCGGCGGCGUGCCUAAUACAUGCAAGUAGAACGCUGAAGAGAGGAGCUUGCUCUUCUUGGUUGAGUUGCGAACGGGUGAGUAACGCGUAGGUAACCUGCCUGGUAGCGGGGGAUAACUAUUGGAAACGAUAGCUAAUACCGCAUAAAAUGGAUUAUCGCAUGAUAAUUCAUUGAAAGGUGCAAAUGCAUCACUACCAGAUGGACCUGCGUUGUAUUAGCUAGUUGGUGGGGUAACGGCUCACCAAGGCAACGAUACAUAGCCGACCUGAGAGGGUGAUCGGCCACACUGGGACUGAGACCACGGCCCAGACUCCUACGGGAGGCAGCAGUAGGGAAUCUUCGGCAAUGGACGGAAGUCUGACCGAGCAACGCCGCGUGAGUGAAGAAGGUUUUCGGAUCGUAAAGCUCUGUUGUAAGAGAAGAACGAGUGUGAGAGUGGAAAGUC
rnacentral:rRNA from 1 species